rnacentral:rRNA from 1 species
UACGUAGGGUGCGAGCGUUAAUCGGAAUUACUGGGCGUAAAGCGUGCGCAGGCGGUGAUGUAAGACAGUUGUGAAAUCCCCGGGCUCAACCUGGGAACUGCAUCUGUGACUGCAUCGCUGGAGUGCGGCAGAGGGGGAUGGAAUUCCGCGUGUAGCAGUGAAAUGCGUAGAUAUGCGGAGGAACACCGAUGGCGAAGGCAAUCCC